AACGUAGGUCCCGAGCGUUGUCCGGAAUCACUGGGUGUAAAGGGUGCGUAGGCGGGCGUGAGCGUCUGGGGUGAAAGGCUCCGGCUCAACCGGAGACAUGCCCUGGGUACGGCACGUCUUGGGUGCGGGAGUGGGCGAUGGAAUUCCUGGUGUAGCGGUGAAAUGCGUAGAUAUCAGGAGGAACUCCGGUGGCGAAGGCGGUCGCCUGGCCCGCAACCGACGCUGAGGCACGAAAGCGUGGGGAGCAACCAGG
rnacentral:rRNA from 1 species